UGAUAUGACAGAAACAUUGUUAAUGUAAAACUCUUAACUCAACAUGCAUCACUUAAGACUUCCCUCCAGCAUCAUGUACAUGUGUCUGAUGUAUUUUAAGGACUGAAAUAAUCACCUAUGUAUUUUGGAUGUGAGUAGUUCAAGUAGGUUUGGGUGCAAGUCUGUGAAAUUAACAGGAAUCUGUUUCUGGAAUUCAGGAAGGAAACAAAAAUACACCUGAGAAGAAAACAACACAAGCCUCUUUAUUACAGCCUUAAGUAAGCUUUCUUUGUUUAUCAUGAGCAUAAAUAAUAAUUAAGGAAUAUUUAAAUAUUAAUAGUAAUAUUGUGCCCAACUAAUGAUGAUACACCUCACCUAUAUGAAUAAGGUGAUAUGAAGUUUUGAAUUUGUUAUAAUUCUUUGGUAUGUGGAUCCAUUGAUUCAGCGUGUACAAAUGUUAUUUAUAAUGAAUAUUUGGAGAAGAAUAUGUUUUCUUUCCACCUACUCCAUCAGUUUUGGGACAAAAGAAUACAACAAAGUGAUUUUAACUUGUCUUUAUGUUCUCAUUACUGUGUUAGGAACAACUCUCUUGGAAGCUGUUUCAUGUCAUCUACUUUAUGUGUUUGUUUAUACCCUUUACAAUUUUGUUAGCAUAUUCCCUCUGCAUAUCAGAUUGUACAGUUUUACAUCUUAUUGUGUAUUUAAUUUCAUUUUUUCAUUAUGUUUGUUUUUUCUACUUGUGGUUGUAUGAAUAUGAUACAUUUACACGCAACUAUAUCAUCUCACAGUCAGACAAACAGGACUAUGAAUGGCAGUAUUUUACUUGAGGAACGGACUUCAUCAGGGAUUUCAAUGGCUGAUUGAGUAUCAGCUCAUAAAUCACCGUUAUCAAUCCUGGCUGUAGAAAAUGGUUUAUAAUAAUCAGCAUUUCAAACUAAAAUAUUUGCCUUAGACUUUUAAUUAUCGUUAACAUUCUCCCAAAGACUAUUUGACUUGAAGAUAAGAUUUAUCUUUCAACUGAAUUUUCCUGCCAAAUGUUUUGAAUUAACCAUCGCAGUUUUUGAGUUAGUGUCAUCUAACACUGAACUUUGAAAAACAGGAAAACCAUUUGAUUUAGGCCAGUUUAGGUAGGACAUGUAUGUUUAUAUGAAGAGGUUCAGGUGUUUAUCAUUCAUAUAGAUGCAAGUAAACCUGACAGCUGAUGUUUGGGUGACUCGGAUGAAGUUAAGUCAUAAAAAACAUACCUCUACCAUAUAUGGGUACUGAUCUUGAACGUGAUUUUAGUUGUUGUAGCAUAUCCUCUACACAUUUUCCUUUAUACAUGCAUGCUUCUACUUAAUCAUAAUAUUGGGAUUUGUUUAGUUACAAUUGUUUACAGCUUGUCUCAUCAGUUGACUAACACAUGGAAAUGAAUCUCCACUUUCAAAUAUUUCAUUAUGUCCAUAAUCUAAACCUUGAAUUCACAUCCCCAACUAAUACCAUUCAUUCCUUGAUCCUGGAAAGUGCAAUAUGGUGUGACCAGCAAAAAUAUAUCAAUAAGCGAUAGAGCUAUGCAAGCUGAUAACAAUGCAGUAUGAUUGAGUCUCUUUUUCCAUCAGUUUCCUGCAAUAAGGCUAUUUGAGGAUUGAUUAUGAAUAAAGUACAUAAGCACUGAAUUUUUGUUAUGAAAUGUCUUCUCAUCACGUCCCAGUUUUUACCAUUAGGAGAAAACAUGUAUGUUAACAGAAUCCAAAUGCACUGACCAGUAUCUGAAGUUAAAAAUGUUAAAACGUGUCUUGGUAAUUCUGAAAUGUCAGUUUUAGCGCAGUGCAGUGUGCGCUGUGUAUUUUAUCACCAACCAGUGCUAUACAUAUCAUCUCAUCACAUCUGGAUCUAUGUGGAAUGAACUUGGUUCCUAUAGACCAUGCCAAUCUUGCUCAUGAUGUUGUCUUCGUGAUUUUAUCACUUUUGUCAAAACACAGCAGAGCAUUAUCUGUAUCUGAGCAGUUUCUUUGAAAGUAGUGCAAUGUACAAUUUUGUAAAUAUAUUUUCUUCUAAAUGGCGACUUGGGGAAAGGCAGUCCUUUUGUCAGAUUCUCACAGGUAAGUGACUGUGAUUUUAGAAUUGUUCAACAAGUUAGUUCGUCAUAAUUUAAAUACCUUCAUGUUUUGCAUACUUCAGCAGAUUCAUGGUGACUUCUGUUGUAUUGCAAAAAGAGUGUCUUUCCCACAGCCCAAAUCAUGGAUGCUUGAUGUUAUAAAAUCUGGUUGUGUUGUAGUUUCUGGGGGUCAGUCUUUGUUACCCAUACUCCAUGAUCAAGACUUUGUCAAAACUAUUUUGCUGUACUGCUAAGCAAGGAUUUCCUUGUUAACUAGGAACCUGAGAAUCUUGUAUUGUGCUGUUCGGCUAUGCAUGUGCCUACUACCUGACAGUGUUGUACUGUACUGCUAAGCAAGUGCUUCCUUGAUAACUAAGAUCUCAGACAGUGUUGUGCUGUACUGUAAGAUUGCAUCCUUGUUAACGAGGAACCUGACAAUGUCAUGGUGUAUUGUAAGCAAAUCUUCUGCUGUGUAUAGUUAAUGUGUGAUAUAUGAAUGUGUUAUCAUUUACACCUCUACAAACCCAAAUAACAAUUAGCCGACUUAGAGUACACACUGUUAAGUUAUUGUACAGAUUAUACCUUGGGAUUUAUAUAUUUUCUUAAUUUAAUUGUAAAAUAACUUGCUGCUAUUAAACUUUGUACAAAACAAA